GGCCAUUUUCCGGGCGUCCGAGGACGGUGGGGCGGAGCCGAGCGACCAGAGCGUCCCGGAGGCUUCGUCAUCGACCUUCGGGGGAUCACCAGAUAACACCUCCCACAUCUAGAAAAGGUCAAUUUGGAAAACAUAUUAAAAUGCCUUAAAAGCCAUAUAAGAAGAGUAGAUGUCACCUACAAAAUGCUUCACUUACCUGAGCCAAGUGUACCAGGACAGCCCUGUCGCCUACAGGACCUUACAAGAGGAAUCCAGACAAAGCCCACCAACCACAAUUAAGAUAUCUCUCAAAAGAAAAUCAUUUUAAGCAGACAAUG